CUUCAAGUGCCUUCAGGGGUAAGAAGAGUUGUCAUGGAGAGAUGUGUUGUCCAUGGCAACCCUAGAAAACACCAAGCUGUAAGCCUGCCUAGCAACUUCCUCUCUAGGCAUAUCGCUACCACCUCCAUCCCCACAUGGUCUGCUCUAACUGUUUGAUCAAGUGGAUACCUCUGAUUAAUUUAAUAACUCUAGCAUUAAAGAACAUAGAAAAUGAGAGAGCAAGUAGGUCACUGUGACAUCUGUUCAAGAACAUUUUCAUCUUUUGAAAGAUUACAAAAACAUUGGAACAAAACGCACACAGAAGUGCAAGCCAUAAACUUGUUUUUGUGAUUUUAUAGUUGCAGAGGAGCCGUUGUUUGCUAAACAUAAAAAGGAAUUUCAUCCAAAUGAUCGAAUGGCGUGUGAGUUUUGUGCUUUUACCACCAGGAAAUGGAGUAAGCUGAAAAAACAUCACACGAUAGUUCAUAUGGCUUUGUAUAAAGAAAACAUUGCUACUGGUUUAAAAAAGGACAAUUUCAGAGAGGAAACCAUGACAUCUUCAUGUACCCAUCAGAUCACAAACUUCACCAAAUUGUGGAAACUUUAAUGUCCAAUGCUCAAUAUUGAAGGAGAAAAUUUUUUUAUCAUCAACUAAUGAAAUGACAGCUGAACUUUACCACAAUAAAUUCAAAUCAUGUGACAAAUUACAGUUACAUCAUGAAAAUUAAACAGCUGCACCUCAAAAGUUACAGACUUUAACUGGGCAAAAAUGUGAAUGUGCUCUGGAGAAUUGUACAACUUGUCAACUAUACCAUAAAGAUAAACAGAGAGGCAGUGAUCCUCCAACUGAGAUUUCUGUGUGUGACAUUUGCCAAAAAAGUUUUAAAUCCUUAUCUCAUUUGGCUUCUCAUAAAAUUGUAC